rnacentral:miRNA from 1 species
CACUUGAGGAGUAAUGGGUGCAGAGUGAUGAAAUAAAAUUGAUAAAAAAUAUUUUUCCCCAUCAUUCAAAACAUUUCUUAUCAAUUUUAUUUCAUAACUCUGCACCCAUUACUCCCCAAG